GCCAAUGUGGUGCAGUGGGUUUGAGCUUUGGACUAUGACUCUGGAGAUCAGGGUUUGAAUCCCAGCUCUGCCA